UACAGGGGGUGCAAACGUUGUUCGGAAUUACUGGGCGUAAAGGGCGCGUAGGCGGCCAUCUAAGUCAGACGUGAAAUCCCCCGGCUUAACCUGGGAACUGCGUCUGAUACUGGACGGCUGGAGUUUGGGAGAGGGAUGCGGAAUUCCAGGUGUAGCGGUGAAAUGCGUAGAUAUCUGGAGGAACACCGGUGGCGAAGGCGGCAUCCUGGACCGACACUGACGCUGAGGAGCGAAAGCCAGGGGAGCAAACGGG
rnacentral:rRNA from 1 species